AGAGUUUGAUCCUGGCUCAGAACGAACGCUGGCGGCGUGCUUAACACAUGCAAGUCGAGUGCGCGUUCCGUAGCAAUACGGGAUGGCGCACGGCGCACGGGUGCGUAACACGUGGGCAAUCUGCCCUUCGAUGGGGAAUAUCUUCGGGAAACCGAAGCGAAUUCCGCAUAACAUUCCUUGGACCUCGGUUCGAGGACUCAAAGCCGUAAGGCGUCGAAGGAGGAGCCCGCGCACGAUUAGCUAGUUGGUAGGGUAACGGCCUACCAAGGCUUUGAUCGUUAGCUGGUCUGAGAGGAUGGCCAGCCACACUGGAACUGAGACACGGUCCAGACUCCUACGGGAGGCAGCAGUGGGGAAUCUUGCACAAUGGGCGAAAGCCUGAUGCAGCGACGCCGCGUGGGGGAUGAAGCAUUUCGGUGUGUAAACCCCUUUCGACCCGGAAGAAUGCCUCGCAAGAGGACUGACGUACGGGAUAA
rnacentral:rRNA from 1 species